CGGAGUAACGCGUGGAUAACCUGCCUCACACUGGGGGAUAACAGUUAGAAAUGACUGCUAAUACCGCAUAAGCGCACAGUACCGCAUGGUACAGUGUGAAAAACUCCGGUGGUGUGAGAUGGAUCCGCGUCUGAUUAGCCAGUUGGCGGGGUAACGGCCCACCAAAGCGACGAUCAGUAGCCGACCUGAGAGGGUGACCGGCCACAUUGGGACUGAGACACGGCCCAA
rnacentral:rRNA from 1 species